rnacentral:rRNA from 1 species
CCAGACUCCUACGGGAGGCAGCAGUGGGGAAUUUUGCGCAAUGGGGGAAACCCUGACGCAGCAACGCCGCGUGCGGGACGAAGGCCCUCGGGUUGUAAACCGCUUUCAGCAGGGAAGAUCCAAGACGGUACCUGCAGAAGAAGCUCCGGCUAACUACGUGCCAGCAGCCGCGGUAAUACGUAGGGGGCGAGCGUUAUCCGGAUUCAUUGGGCGUAAAGCGCGCGUAGGCGGCCGCCUAAGCGGGACCUCUAACCCCGGGGCUCAACCCCGGGCCGGGUCCCGGACUGGGCGGCUCGAGUGCGGUAGAGGAGAGCGGAAUUCCCGGUGUAGCGGUGGAAUGCGCAGAUAUCGGGAAGAACACCGAUGGCGAAGGCAGCUCUCUGGGCCGUCACUGACGCUGAGGCGCGAAAGCUGGGGGAGCGAACAGGAUUAGAUACCCGAGUA